CGAGCCAGCAUUCUCCAGUCACAGCCGCGUGCGCUGGGGGCAUCCAGACUGGCACAAAUUUUCUGCCGUAUGGAUACGGGCAGUCGGAAAGCAUAUGGGCCCACUUGAGAUGAAGGCAGGCACGAACCUCCUGCUGGCAACGAUCUUGCAGGUGAGCUGGGAAACCACCAGGCUUCCUCUCUCCAGACUGAAGGUGCAAUGCAACGGCCGCUGACUCCCGCUCCAAAUGUGAUAGAAUGGGAUUUCCUGGGACACACAAUACACAAGAGGCAAAUUUUUAGUGAAAGGGAACAUCACGAAUUACAUCUGAGGAUGCUCCAAUGGCCUCUCUCAUCUUUUAGACAUCAUGCUCACCUCCCAGGCGCCUUGAUGGUUCUGCAUUUUGAGGGUGAGGGUCCAGUCUGGGGGCUCUAGCUGUGCACAGUGGGGCAGACUGAGGACCACAGGUCUGCUCAGCAGCAU